ACGACAAAUGAUGAAAUUGCCCCUAGUGCGGCUUUUCUUUGUUAAGUUUCCGUCCAACACAUCUUCAACCUGACGUAAUUAAUACGGAAAUUAAUUAUUCGUUAAAUGAAGGAAUUUGGCUGAAAUCCCGCUGUCCCGGGUUUGUGCCCCGAGUCCAAUUUCUCGGGCCGUUUCCAAUCAACCUGCCAAAUUUUGGCCCAUUCCGACACCGUCGCAACAAAUGAAGAAAUUGCC
rnacentral:lncRNA from 1 species